UGGCUUUUGGCAAGUUGGUAGAGCAUCGCACUAGUAACGCGGUCAUGGGUUCAAAUCCCGUUAAAGCCAG